rnacentral:rRNA from 1 species
AUACGGAGGAUGCAAGCGUUAUCCGGAUUUAUUGGGUUUAAAGGGUGCGUAGGCGGUUUGCUAAGCGGGAGGUGAAAUGCCGGCGCUCGACGCCGGAGCUGCCUUCUGCACUGGCUGUCUGGAGUGGCAGGGCCGGUGGAGGGAUGAGUGGUGUAGCGGGGGAAUGCAUAGAGAUCACACAGAACACCGAUUGCGAAGGCAUCUCACGAAGGGGUGAUUGACGCUGAGGCACGAAAGCGUGGGGAUCAAACAGGAUUAGAUACCCUGGUAGUCCACGCAGUAAACGAUGAUAACUAACCGCUGGGUCGUAGUGAUUCAGUGGCCAAGCGAAAGCGAUAAGCGCCCCACCUGGGGAGUACGGUCUCAAGGUUGAAACUCAAAGGAAUUGACGGGG